rnacentral:misc_RNA from 1 species
UUAAUUUUUAUGAUUUUCUCAGACUAUUACGGGUGAUUCAGGUUUGUGUUUGGGUCCCCAUUGACAGGCGGGCCUGCCGAGGAAACGUGUGGUACUCAAAAAGGCAAGGGUUCUAUCUCGGCGGGGCCGGAGCCCCACGUUAAUGAUCCUUCCGCAGGUUCACCUACGGAAA